AGUCACGCAGGACCCACAGUCGCGAUCCUGCUCAAGGAACGAGAACACAUCAGCACGGGGCUGGCUUCCGUUGAAACGACAGCGUACAGUUGUGUUUGUAUACUAUUCACCUGUAACUUCCAGAUUCGGGAAAAGAAGAGGUGAUCAGUAAAAAAGAGGAAGCCAUGGGUCAACGAAGUGAGCGAGAUAGAAAAAUCGUUGAAAUGGAAAUAGAGGAGGUAAACAGAACCUUGAAUCUGCCUUUUCCAUUAACUGGAAGGGAGUCUGAACGUAGUAAAGAAGAGGCAGAUUGCUUCGACGAAGAAUGGCUCAGUGUGUCAUGUUCUCCACGAAGUAUUUUUCCGAGACAGCUUUUCAGCAGCUGUCCCGACGCUGACGAUGACAACACAGACUUCCAGAUCCGUGACGGGAAUGAAUCCCUCGAGAUUGCUGACCUGAGGGAGAGAAAGUACCGUGAGGAGAUUACGGAGCUGCGGGAGAACUGUAAAAAAUUAGUGUUGGAACAAAAGAAACUGGAAAAGAAAUACCAGAGUGAAAUUGAAAUGUGGAAGAGGGUGAUGGAAAAACCAAUUGCUGCUGCAAAGUUUAGCCAUAAAAGACGAUGAAAUUUCUUUAUUUUCAUUUCCUGUUUUAAUAACUACAGAUACGAAUGUAUAAUUUUUAUAUAAAAAAUAAUAACUAUACCAACUUA